AUCUGUGCUGAGUUUUUCAAAGGUCAGAGCAGAUUGAACCUUUGUGGUUUCAUUUUCCCUGAUUUUGAUUUUUCUUAUGGGGAACCUGUGUGGCUGCAUUCAAGGUGACUCGAAGAAGCCUUCCAAAAAGCAUGUGAAAAGGAAGCCCUACUCUACUACCAAGGUGACUUCAGGGAGCACAUUCAAUGAGAAUACAAGAAGAUAUGCUGUGCACACCAACCAGUGUAGGAGACCUCAUGGCUCCCGGGUAAAGAAGAAGAGGUACCCACAAGAAGAUGACUUCCAUCAUACAGUCUUCAGCAACCUUGAAAGAUUGGACAAGCUUCAGCCCACUCUUGAAGCCUCUGAGGAGUCUCUAGUUCACAAGGACAGAGGAGAUGGAGAGAGGCCAGUCAACGCGAGGGUGGUGCAGGUGGCCCCUCUGAGGCUUGAAUCUACUCCCCAUGAGGACACCGUACACGACAUCACUAACGAGGACGCCACACACGACAUCGCUAACGAGGAUACUGUACACGACAUCGCUAACGAGGCCGCCGACAAGGGCAUCGCCAACGAGGACGCCGCCCACGGCAUCGCCAACGAGGACGCCGCCCACGGCAUCGCCAGCGAGGACGCCGCCCACGGAAUCGCCAGCGAGGACGCCGCCCACGGCAUCGCCAGCGAGGACGCCGCCCAGGGCAUCGCCAACGAGGACGCCGCCCAGGGCAUCGCCAAGGAGGACGCCGUCCACGGCAUCGCCAACGAGGACGCCGCCCAGGGCAUCGCCAACGAGGACGCCGCCCAGGGCAUCGCCAAGGAGGACGCCGCCCAGGGCAUCGCCAACGAGGACGCCGCCCAGGGCAUCGCCAAAGAGGACGCCGCCCAGGGCAUCGCCAAGGAGGACGCCGCCCAGGGCAUCGCCAACGAGGGCGCCGCCCAGGGCAUCGCCAAAGAGGACGCCGCCCAUGGCAUCGCCAACGAGGACGCCGCCCAGGGCAUCGCCAACGAGGACGCCGCCCACGGAAUCGCCAGCGAGGACGCCGCCCACGGCAUCGCCAGCGAGGACGCCGUCCAGGGCAUCGCCAAGGAGGAUGCCGCCCAGGGCAUCGCCAACGAGGACGCCGCCCAGGGCAUCGCCAACGAGGACGCCGCCCAGGGCAUCGCCAAAGAGGACGCCGCCCACGGCAUCGCCAACGAGCUGUAUACGACAUCGCUAACGAGGACACCCUACAAGCCGUCGCUAACAAGUACACUGUACACAACAUCGCUAAUGAGGGCACUGUACAAGACAUCACCAAUGAGGGCGCUUUAUACGACAUUGCUAAUGGCACCGACAAGGCACGCUAACGUGGACGCUGUACACGACAUUGCUAAUGAGGACAGCGUAUAAGACAUCGCUAGUAACUAUCGCAAGAACAAAAAACCAAACACCGCAUAUUCUCACUCAUAGAUGGGAAUUGAACAAUGAGAUCACAUGGACACAGGAAGGGGAAUAUCACACUCUGGGGACUGUUGUGGGGUUGGGGGGGGAGGGAUAGCAUCGGGAGAUAUACCUAAUGCUAGAUGAUGAGUUAGUGGGUGCAGCGCACCAGCACGGCACAUGUAUACAUAUGUAACUAACCUGCACAAUGUGCACAUGUACCCUAAAACUUAAAGUAUAUAUAUAUAAAAAAAGACAUCGCUAGUGAGCACGCUGUAUACGACAUCGCUAAUGAGGACACCAUACAAGGCAUCGCUAACGAUGACGCUGUACACAACAUCACUAAUGAUGACACCGUAUAAGACAUCGCUAAUUAUGACGCUGUAUACGACAUCGCUAAUGACACCGUACAAGGCACGCUAACGAGGAUGCUGUACACGACAUCACUAAUGAGGACAGUGUACAAGCCAUCACUAAUGAGGACACUGUAUAUGGCAUCGCUAACGAGGACACUGUACAAGGCAUUGCUAACGAGGACGCUGUACACAACAUCGCUAAUGAGGACACCAUAUAAGACAUCACCAAUGAGGAUGCUGUAUAUGACAUCGCUAAUGGCACCCACAAGGCAUGCUAACGAGGACGCUGUAGACGACAUUGCUUAUAAGGACACCGUACAAGACAUCGCUAACGAGGACGCUGUAUACGACAUCGCUAAUGAGGACGUUGUAUAUGACAUCGCUAAUGAGGAUGCUUUACAAGACAUAGCGAAUGAGGUUGCUGUAUAUGACAUCGCUAAUGAGGACAUUGUAUAUGACAUCGCUAAUGAGGACGCUCUAUACGACAUCACUAAUGAGGACGCUGUAUACAACAUCGCUAAUGAGGACGCUGUAUAUGGCAUCGCUAAUGAGGAUGCUGUAUACGAAUUCGCUAAUAAGGACGCUGUAUAUGACAUUGCUAAUGAGGACACUGUACAAGACAUCUGUAAAAAAGAAGAUGCUGCCAAUGAGCCAUUGACACUGGAGAAUGAUACGUACCCUGAAAUAACUCACUUCCUGAGGAAAAAGCGCCAUCUCUAGGAUUUGAUUGUGGAGAGCAUAUCUGAUGAUGGGGAUUUGUAGGACUUUAAAAAGCACUCAUGUUUCCAUCCUCACUGUUGACUCCUGGCUUAAAGGGAUCUCCCGGGGUGAGUGAGGAGGCGGGAUCGGACCCUGGCAGUCUGACGGCAGCACCUGUGUUCCUCUGCACUGGGCCGUGGAUGACAUUACACACCUUGCCACUCCCACGGUCCUGUGUGUUCCGGAUAUUUUAAAAUAAUGGCUAUAAGGUUGAGCACUUCAGGAUACGCUGUUUUGCUGUGUGCAGAUGGAGGCAGUGGCUGGAGUGAAUGAACGGCAACACUUGCUGGCAACCGGCAGAAGCUGAGAGACAGGGAACAGGC
rnacentral:lncRNA from 1 species